rnacentral:lncRNA from 1 species
CUUCGGUGGAGAAAAACCGAGACGAACUCCGGACGGUUGACGCAAGACCUUGGUUUUGAUGCGCCAUUUGAAUCAGACGGAUAUAUUUCAUCGAAGCUCGGCUCAUUUGAUUCAUCUUUUCAAAUUUUGGCAAAUAUUUGAGCGUACAGAGGGUUUUGAUUGAAGCUUCGGCUGUGAAGUGAACGGGGAAUGAAGUUUGGCUGGGGAUUGAGCGGGGGCAGUCUUUUAAAUAUUAUUUUACCC